GAAUUCGCCCUUAGAGUUUGAUUCCUGGCUCAGGACGAACGCUGGCGGCGUGCCUAACACAUGCAAGUCGAGCGAAUGAAGUUCCUUCGGGAACGGAUUUAGCGGCGGACGGGUGAGUAACACGUGGGCAACCUGCCUCAUAGAGGGGAAUAGCCUUCCGAAAGGGAGAUUAAUACCGCAUAAGAUUGUAGUACCGCAUGGUACAGCAAUUAAAGGAGCAAUCCGCUAUGAGAUGGGCCCGCGGCGCAUUAGCUAGUUGGUGAGGUAACGGCUCACCAAGGCGACGAUGCGUAGCCGACCUGAGAGGGUGAUCGGCCACAUUGGGACUGAGACACGGCCCAGACUCCUACGGGAGGCAGCAGUGGGGAAUAUUGCACAAUGGGGGAAACCCUGAUGCAGCAACGCCGCGUGAGUGAUGACGGCCUUCGGGUUGUAAAGCUCUGUCUUCAGGGACGAUAAUGACGGUACCUGAGGAGGAAGCCACGGCUAACUACGUGCCAGCAGCCGCGGUAAUACGUAGGUGGCGAGCGUUGUCCGGAUUUACUGGGCGUAAAGGGAGCGUAGGCGGAUUUUUAAGUGAGAUGUGAAAUACUCGGGCUUAACCUGGGUGCUGCAUUUCAAACUGGAAGUCUAGAGUGCAGGAGAGGAGAAGGGAAUUCCUAGUGUAGCGGUGAAAUGCGUAGAGAUAAGGAAGAACACCAGUGGCGAAGGCGCUUCUCUGGACUGUAACUGACGCUGAGGCUCGAAAGCGUGGGGAGCAAACAGGAUUAGAUACCCUGGUAGUCCACGCCGUAAACGAUGAUUACUAGGUGUCGGGGAGUAUAGACUCUUCGGUGCCGCAGCUAACGCAUUAAGUAAUCCACCUGGGGAGUACGUUCGCAAGAAUGAAACUCAAAGGAAUUGACGGGGGCCCGCACAAGCGGAGGAACAUGUGGUUUAAUUCGAUGAUACGCGAGGAACCUUACCUGGGCUCGAACGCAUUCGGAAGGGCACGGAAACGUGUCCGCCAGCGAUGGCCGUUUGCGAGGUGCUGCAUGGUUGUCGUCAGCUCGUGCCGUGAGGUGUCGGGUUAAGUCCCACAACGAGCGCAACCCCUACUGCUAGUUGCCAGCGCGUGAAGGCGGGGACUCUAGCGGAACUGCCGGCGUAAGCCGUGAGGAAGGUGGGGAGGACGUCAAAUCAGCACGGCCCUUAUGUCCAGGGCUACACACGUGUUACAAUGGCCGGUACAGAGGGCAGCCACCCCGCGAGGGGGCGCGAAUCCCGAAAGCCGGUCUCAGUUCGGAUCGGAGUCUGCAACCCGACUCCGUGAAGCUGGAUUCGCUAGUAAUCGCGCAUCAGC
rnacentral:rRNA from 1 species